rnacentral:rRNA from 1 species
UACGUAGGUGGCAAGCGUUGUCCGGAUUUACUGGGCGUAAAGCGCGCGCAGGCGGAUUGGUCAGUCCAGGGUGAAAUCUCACGGCUCAACUGUGAGCGGUCCCCGGAUACUGCCAGUCUCGAGGUGUCUAGAGGAGAGCGGAAUUCCCGGUGUAGUGGUGGAAUGCGUAGAUAUCGGGGAAGAAACACCAGUGGCGAAAG